rnacentral:rRNA from 1 species
GACGAACCGUGCGAACGUUGUUCGGAAUCACUGGGCAUAAAGGGCGCGUAGGCGGGCCGUAAAGUCAGGGGUGAAAUCCUCCAGCUUAACUGGAGAACUGCCUUUGAUACUGACGGUCUCGAGUGAGGUAGGGGCGUGUGGAACUGAUGGUGGAGCGGUGAAAUGUGUUGAUAUCAUCAGGAACUCCGGUGGCGAAAGCGACACGCUGGACCUCUACUGACGCUGGAGGCGCGAAAGCCAGGGGAGCAAACGGG